UUAGUAUUCACUAAGGGUGUUGAAAUUAAUCAUUGCAUCGAUGCAUCGUGAUGAGGACCUGGGCGAUUCUGCAUCCAUGCAGUGACAGACCAUAAUCGAUUAUUGCCUACUGAUGUUAGUUGUUGAUUUUCCGGUCGUUGCUUUAUUUUGU